rnacentral:misc_RNA from 1 species
UAUGGAUGCCUUGGACAUUGAGAAGUGGAAAUUUGUGAGCAAGAGUCCUGGCAAAUCAGUUGGUGCCAGUUCAAUACUUCUUGGGCUAGUGUUGGUUGGAAGAGCUGCUUUUAUAUUUCCUUUGUCCUUUAUAUCCAAUUUGACAAGGAAGUCUCAAAGUGACAAAAUUGGAUUAAAGCAGCAGGUUGUAAUAUGGUGGGCUGGGGCUGGGCUUAUGCGAGGAGCUGUAUCUAUGGCACUUGCUUAUAAUCAGUUCACCAACUCAGGGCAUACUCAAUUGCCAGGAAAUGCCAUCAUGAUAACCAGCACCAUUUCAGUUGUUCUUUUCAGUACUGUGGUAUUUGGAUUAGCAACCAAGAAUCUCAUAAGGGUAUUAUUGCCAAAGACACACUCUAGCAAUGCAGUAAUUUCUGAGUUAGCAGAUUUAGUUGAUUCAAAGUCUCUUGCUUUACCACUUCUUGGUGACGGGAAAGAUGGAGAAUCGGAAGUGGGUGGUGAUAAAAUUCCCCGUCCAACAAGUCUACGCAUGCUUCUGUAUGCUUCUGUCGACCCCUACGCGUACGUACUGUUCAUUACUACUGGCGGAAAUUUGAUGAUGCAAUCAUGCGUCCGGUGUUCGGCGGACGAGGAUUUACUCCAUAUAUUCCUGGCUCACCAGAUCUUCGUUGAUAGUAACAAAGAAGGAUAAGAAGAAGAAACAACACUGUAAAAAAAUUCAAAAUAGGUGUAAGAUUAAAGUUGUAUAAUCAUAUAUAACUAUCACCCACAAAUUGUUGUCCUCCUUAUUAAGCAAAUCCCAGAGGAAUGGAUGAAACGUGCAAGCAUUAUAACUUUAAUCUUACACCUAUUUUGAAUUUUUUUACAGUGUUGUUUCUUCUUCUUAUCCUUCUUUGUUACUAUCAACGAAGAUCUGGUGAGCCAGGAAUAUAUGGAGUAAAUCCUCGUCCGCCGAACACCGGACGCAUGAUUGCAUCAUCAAAUUUCCGCCAGUAGUAAUGAACAGUACGCGUAGGGGUCGACAGAAGCAUGCGUAGACUUGUUGGACGGGGAAUUUUAUCACCACCCACUUCCGAUUCUCCAUCUUUCCCGUCACCAAGAAGUGG